GACAGAGGAUGCAAGCGUUAUCCGGAAUGAUUGGGCGUAAAGCGUCUGUAGGUGGCUUUUUAAGUCUGCCGUCAAAUCCCAGGGCUUAACCCUGGACAGGCGGUGGAAACUACCAAGCUGGAGUACGGUAGGGGCAGGGGGAAUUUCCGGUGGAGCGGUGAAAUGCGUAGAGAUCGGAAGGAACAUCAGUGGCGAAAGCGGCUUCCUGGACCAGUACCGACGUUCAGGCACGAAAGCGUGGGGAGCAAACAGG
rnacentral:rRNA from 1 species